AUUGAACGCUGGCGGCAGGCCUAACACAUGCAAGUCGAACGGCAGCGGGGGGUAGCUUGCUACCUCGCCGGCGAGUGGCGGACGGGUGAGUAAUGCCUGGGGAGCUGCCCAGUCGAGGGGGAUACCAGUUGGAAACGACUGCUAAUACCGCAUACGCCCUGAGGGGGAAAGAUGGGGAUCUUCGGACCUAUCGCGAUUGGAUGCACCCAGGUGGGAUUAGCUAGUUGGUGAGGUAACGGCUCACCAAGGCGACGAUCUCUAGCUGGUCUGAGAGGAUGACCAGCUACACUGGAACUGAGACACGGUCCAGACUCCUACGGGAGGCAGCAGUGGGGAAUAUUGCACAAUGGGGGAAACCCUGAUGCAGCCAUGCCGCGUGUGUGAAGAAGGCCUUCGGGUUGUAAAGCACUUUCAGCGGGGAGGAAGGGGAGCAAGCUAAUACCUUGUUUCAUUGACGUUACCCGCAGAAGAAGCACCGGCUAACUCCAUGCCAGCCGCCGCGGUAA
rnacentral:rRNA from 1 species